rnacentral:rRNA from 1 species
GACAGAGGUCUCGAGCGUUAGGCGGAAUCACUGGGCUUAAAGCGUGUGUAGGUGGAUGCCUAAGUACCUUGUGAAAUCCCACGGCUUAACCGUGGAACUGCUUGGUAUACUGGGUGUCUUGAGCCAGCUAGGGGCUACCGGAACAAAUGGUGGAGCGGUGAAAUGCGUAGAUAUCAUUUGGAACGCCAAUGGUGAAAACAGGUAGCUGGGGCUGUGCUGACACUGAGACACGAAAGCCAGGGGGGCGAACGGG